UACGGGGGGGGCAAGCGUUGUUCGGAAUCAUUGGGCGUAAAGCGCGCGUAGGCGGCCCGGUAAGUCCGUUGUAAAAGUCAAAGGCUCAACCUUUGAAAGCCGAUGGAUACUGCCGGGCUAGAGUACGGAAGAGGCGAGUAGAAUUCCUGGUGUAGCGGUGGAAUGCGCAGAUAUCAGGAGGAAUACCCAUAGCGAAGGCAGCUCGCUGGGACGUUACUGACGCUGAGGCGCGAAAGCGUGGGGAGCGAACAGG
rnacentral:rRNA from 1 species